rnacentral:ncRNA from 1 species
CUAUGGUUUAGAAACCAUGGCGGAAGGAG